GAUGAACGCUGGCGGCGUGCCUAAUACAUGCAAGUCGAGCGAACAGUUGAGGAGCUUGCUCCUCUGACGUUAGCGGCGGACGGGUGAGUAAUACGUGGAUAACCUACCUAUAAGACUGGGAUAACUUCGGGAAACCGGAGCUAAUACCGGAUAAUAUAUUGAACCGCAUGGUUCAAUAGUGAAAGACGGUUUUGCUGUCACUUAUAGAUGGAUCCGCGCCGCAUUAGCUAGUUGGUAAGGUAACGGCUUACCAAGGCAACGAUGCGUAGCCGACCUGAGAGGGUGAUCGGCCACACUGGAACUGAGACACGGUCCAGACUCCUACGGGAGGCAGCAGUAGGGAAUCUUCCGCAAUGGGCGAAAGCCUGACGGAGCAACGCCGCGUGAGUGAUGAAGGUCUUCGGAUCGUAAAACUCUGUUAUUAGGGAAGAACAAAUGUGUAAGUAACUAUGCACGUCUUGACGGUACCUAAUCAGAAAGCCACGGCUAACUACGUG
rnacentral:rRNA from 1 species